rnacentral:rRNA from 1 species
CAAUAGCGUAUAUUAAAGUUGUUGCAGUUAAAAAGCUCGUAGUUGAAUUUCUGUCAGGAGUGACCGGGCCUUUGGAUGAACUUCCAUUGUUUUUUGCUCUGUUUGUCAUCUCUAGACAUCCUGAAAUAUUUUUUAAAAAUAUUUCUCUUUUACUGUUAGCAAAAUAGAGUGUUCCAAGCAAAGCGUAGUUUUGAAUACAUUAGAAUGGAAUAAUAAGAUAGGACUUUGGUGCUAUUUCGUUGGUUUGCACACCAAGGUAAUGAUUAAUAGGGACAGUUGGGGGUAUUCGUAUUUAAUUGUCAGAGGUGAAAUUCUUGGAUUUAUGAAAGACGAACUACUGCGAAAGCAUUUACCAAGGAUGUUUUCAUUAA